rnacentral:rRNA from 1 species
AUUGAACGCUGGCGGCAGGCCUAACACAUGCAAGUCGAACGAGUGGCGGACGGGUGAGUAAUGUCUGGGAAACUGCCUGAUGGAGGGGGAUAACUACUGGAAACGGUAGCUAAUACCGCAUACCAUCGGAUGUGCCCAGAUGGGAUGAGCUAGUAGGUGGGGUGAAGGAUCACCUAGGCGACGAUCCCUAGCUGGGAUGAGAGGAUGACCAGCCACGCUGGAACUGAGACACGGUCCUGACUCCUACGGGAGGCAGCAGUGGGGAAUAGGGCACAAUGGGAGCAAGCCUGAUGGAGCGAUGCCGCGUGUAUGAAGAGGGCCUUCGGGUUGUAAAGUACUUUCAGCGGGGAGGCGUUACCCGCAGAAUAAGCACCGGCUAACUCCGUGCCAGCAGCCGCGGUAAUAC